rnacentral:rRNA from 1 species
CCUACGGGUGGCAGCAGUAGGGAAUAUUGCUCAAUGGGGGAAACCCUGAAGCAGCAACGCCGCGUGGAGGAUGAAGGUUUUCGGAUUGUAAACUCCUUUUGUUAGAGAAGAUAAUGACGGUAUCUAACGAAUAAGCACUGGCUAACUCCGUGCCAGCAGCCGCGGUAAUACGGAGGGUGCAAGCGUUAUCCGGAAUCACUGGGCGUAAAGGGCGCGUAGGCGGGUUAGCAAGUCAGUUGUGAAAUCCUAUGGCUUAACCGUAGAACUGCAUUUGAAACUGUUAGUCUAGAGUAUAGGAGAGGUAGGUGGAAUUCGUGGUGUAGCGGUAAAAUGCGCAGAGAUCAAGAAGAAUACUGAUUGCGAAGGCAGCCUACUAGAACGUAACUGACACUGAUGCGCGAAAGCGUGGGUAGCAAACAGGAUUAGAUACCCCAGUAGUC